rnacentral:rRNA from 1 species
GACGAACGCUGGCGGCGUGCUUAACACAUGCAAGUCGAACGGAAAGGCCCUGCUUUUGUGGGGUGCUCGAGUGGCGAACGGGUGAGUAACACGUGAGUAACCUGCCCUUGACUUUGGGAUAACUUCAGGAAACUGUGGCUAAUACCGGAUAGGAGCUCCUGCUGCAUGGUGGGGGUUGGAAAGUUUCGGCGGUUGGGGAUGGACUCGCGGCUUAUCAGCUUGUUGGUGGGGUAGUGGCUUACCAAGGCUUUGACGGGUAGCCGGCCUGAGAGGGUGACCGGCAACAUUGGGACGGAGAUACGGCCCAGACUCCUACGGGAGGCAGCAGUGGGGAAUAUUGCACAAUGGGCGGAAGCCUGAUGCAGCAACGCCGCGUGCGGGAUGACGGCCUUCGGGUUGUAAACCGCUUUCGCCUGUGACGAAGCGUGAGUGACGGUAAGGGGUAAAGAAGCACCGGCUAACUACGUG